rnacentral:lncRNA from 1 species
GCACGGGUCAUAGGUUGAGGUCCAGAGGACCUAGUGGCAUUGUAUGCCACGUUAUGAUGCAUUUGUUUUCAGGAUAGUGUCCAAAUAUGGACGUAGUAUGGCCCCUAUUUAGACCCCAGCCGCACAUGUGGAUGGAGCUAGGGAAUGUUGUCUAGAGAUAGACGCUGGUGGGUAUGGGUCUCGUAGGUCAGUAUCACAUGAAGAUGAGAUAUGGGCUGAUCAAAUGUAUGGGUAAAGUGUACACCUCUACGCAGAGUAUAAUCUAUCUGGAUAGUCGAGGCUCACGGUUAUGAGCCCACAUAGUCAAAGCUAUCAUCGAUUAAAAUCAUAACUUGAGUAUGGUAAGAUGGAACCGAGGCCCUAAGAGAGUUAAUUUAGAAUAAGGCAUAAGCUGGCGCAGAAGGACCCUAACGGUCUCUGGUGCUCCUUAAAACUUGGGAACUAGUAGGAGAGGUAAGAUUCCCAACUCAAUAAAAAUGAUUCAUACUACUCCUUUCCAAAACUCACCUCACCUUGCAUAAAUAGGUUUAUUGAUAAAAUCAAACCAUACCCUUUCCUUGAUUUUCCCUACAUCUAAU